rnacentral:rRNA from 1 species
CCCUACGGGGCGCAGCAGGCGCGAAAACUUUACAAUGCGGGAAACCGUGAUAAGGGGACACCGAGUGCCAGCAUCAUAUGUUGGCUGUCCAGAUGUGUAAAAUACAUCUGUUAGCAAGGGCCGGGCAAGACCGGUGCCAGCCGCCGCGGUAACACCGGCGGCCCGAGUGGUGAUCGUGAUUAUUGGGUCUAAAGGGUCCGUAGCCGGUUUGGUCAGUCCUCCGGGAAAUCUGACGGCUCAACCGUUAGGCUUUCGGUGGAUACUGCCAGACUUGGGGCCGGGAGAGGUAAGAGGUACUACAGGGGUAGGGGUGAAAUCCUGUAAUCCC